GCAUCAAAAUAAGGCGUGAAAUUGCAGGAACUCUACUUACGUAAUGUUUAAUUUUAUCGUGAGUAGAGUUCUUGCAGUCAGUUUUAUUUUUUUAA